rnacentral:rRNA from 1 species
AUACGUAGGGGGCGAGCGUUGUCCGGAAUGAUUGGGCGUAAAGGGCGCGUAGGCGGCCUGUUAAGUCUGGAGUGAAGGUCCUGUUUUCAAGAUGGGAAUUGCUUUGGAUACUGAUGGGCUUGAGUGCAGGAGAGGUUAUCGGAAUUCCCGGUGUAGCGGUGAAAUGCGUAGAGAUCGGGAGGAACACCAGUGGCGAAGGCGGGUAACUGGACUGCAACUGACGCUGAGGCGCGAAAGUGUGGGGAGCAAACAGGAUUAGAUACCCUGGUAGUCCACACUGUAAACGAUGAAUGCUAGGUGUAAGAGGUAUCGACCCCUUUUGUGCCGGAGUUAACACAAUAAGCAUUCCGCCUGGGGAGUACGGCCGCAAGGUUGAAACUCAAAGGAAUUGACGGGG